UAGCAAACGGGAUUAGAUACCCCGGUAGUCCAUACCGUAAACGAUGGGUGCUAGUUGUUAAGAGGUUUCCGCCUCCUAGUGACGUAGCAAACGCAUUAAGCACCCCGCCUGAGGAGUACGGCCGCAAGGCUAAAACUUAAAGGAAUUGACGGGGACCCGCACAAGCGGUGGAGCAUGUGGUUUAAUUCGAAGAUACGCGAAAAACCUUACCAGGUUUUGACAUACCAAUGAUCGCUUUUGUAAUGAAAGCUUUUCUUCGGAACAUUGGAUACAGGUGGUGCAUGGUCGUCGUCAGCUCGUGUCGUGAGAUGUUGGGUUAAGUCCCGCAACGAGCGCAACCCUUGUUAUUAGUUGCCAGCAUUUAGUUGGGCACUCUAAUGAGACUGCCGGUGAUAAACCGGAGGAAGGUGGGGACGACGUCAGAUCAUCAUGCCCCUUAUGACCUGGGCAACACACGUGCUACAAUGGGAAGUACAACGAGUCGCAAACCGGCGACGGUAAGCUAAUCUCUUAAAACUUCUCUCAGUUCGGACUGGAGUCUGCAACUCGACUCCACGAAGGCGGAAUCGCUAGUAAUCGCGAAUCAGCAUGUCGCGGUGAAUACGUUCCCGGGUCUUGUACACACCGCCCGUCAAAUCAUGGGAGUCGGAAGUACCCAAAGUCGCUUGGCUAACUUUUAGAGGCCGGUGCCUAAGGUAAAAUCGAUGACUGGGAUUAAGUCGUAACAAGGUAGCCGUAGGAGAACCUGCGGCUGGAUCACCUCCUUUCUAAGGA
rnacentral:rRNA from 1 species